UACGUAGGGAGCAAGCGUUGUCCGGAAUCAUUGGGCGUAAAGCGCGCGUAGGUGGCCCUGUAAGUCCGUUGUGAAAGUCAAAGGCUCAACCUUUGAAAGCCGAUGGAUACUGCAGGGCUAGAGUACGGAAGAGGCGAGUGGAAUUCCUGGUGUAGCGGUGGAAUGCGCAGAUAGUCAGGAGGAACACCAUAGCGAAGGCAGCUCCGCUGGGACGUUACUGACACUGAGGCGCGAAAGCGUGGGGAGCAAACAGG
rnacentral:rRNA from 1 species